UCCGAUUGGGAAAGCCUGUCCCCAAGGGCCUGCGCAGAACCCGGAGGAGCAGUUGAUCAUUGAUGUCCCACCCCCUCGGAGUGAUUGGAUCAGCAGAAUGAUCGACGUGUUGAUUGUGGUAAAAACAAAGAACUGCGGAUGCUGGAAAUCCAAAACAAAAACAAAAAUCUUGUGAUCCUUUGAUUUGGUCACUGAGAAAUUCAUAUCUCUUUUUAAAAGUUCGUGGUCUCCACAGGAAUCGGAAAAACACUUCAAAAAUAAAGGGGUCUCCAACUUAAGACAGAUGAGAAGCAAUUUCUUCUAUCAGAAGAUGCUGAAAGACCUGCUGAGAUUCCCCAGCCCUCCGGCCCCAGCACUUUCUGUUUUUAAUCUCACCUUCACUAAAUCGCAUUCACUGACUCUGCCGAACUGCUCGAACAGCGGUUGAACCUCAUCCCUCCGCACCUCCGGGGGCAGCUUCCCCACGAAAAGCUUCACCAUGCCCUCGCCGUGGGUAGGUCAGCCCAGGUUGGGGACGAGUAUGAAGGAAGGGAAAACCACAGAGCCCCAAUCCAGCCUCUCAAAAUGACGACCGCGGCACAGCCUUCCCUCCGUUUCCAUUGGCUGCUCCGUUCCUCGAUUACUGAUUGGCAAUAACCACGCGACCCGGGAGCAGAUGUCAAUCAAAGAGCUUAUUGGCUGAAAGUCAGAUACUUUCUCAGCUGAUUCGCUGACUGCUGGAGAAUCUUAAAGCCAGUUGGCUGUGAUUCAGAGAAAUCUUGCAACCGAUUGGCAAGGAUUCAGAGAAACGUGAAGCUGAUUGGCCGGUGCCCAAAUCGGUGUAACCCCGCCUGCAAUCCCACUCGAUGCCGGUACUUUCGCUGGGAUAUCUUCCAUUUUCCAUCCUUUGUAAUUGUCAGUGAUGAUACUGGUUUGACGCAGAGUCAUCAGCCCAAACCAAAAAUUCAUUUGAAGUGGCACAAACAAUAAACAUCCAAAUUACAAAUAAAA